AGUCGAGAAUUUUUCUCAAUGGGCGAAAGCCUGAAGGAGCGACGCCGCGUGGGGGAUGAAGGGUUUCGAUCCGUAAACCCCUGUCAUUUGUGAACAAUGGUUAUUCAUGAAUAAUGGAUGACUUGAUAGUAAUGAAAGAGGAAGGGACGGCUAACUCUGUGCCAGCAGCCGCGGUAAUACAGAGGUCCCGAGCGUUGUUCGGAUUCACUGGGCGUAAAGGGUGCGUAGGUGGCAUGGUAAGUUUGAUGUGAAAGCUCAGAGCUCAACUCUGAAAUGGCAUUGAAUACUACUGUGCUGGAGGUUUGGAGGGGGGACUGGAAUUCUUGGUGUAGCAGUGAAAUGCGUAGAUAUCAAGAGGAACACCAGUGGCGAAGGCGAGUCCCUGGACAACACCUGACACUGAGGCACGAAAGCUAGGGGAGCAAA
rnacentral:rRNA from 1 species